GGCCGCGGGCCUCGUCCUCAGCCGCGACCCACCGGCCCCGGGCAGCCACCCCCGCCCAGCGCCAGGCCCCGGCCGGACCCGGAUGCUGUGAGGCCGGCUCCUUGGCCCGGACGCCGCUGCUCAGCUGGGUCUCCGAGCUUUCCAGGAAGGAGUGAGCUCCCCGUCUCCGGAGGUAACCAAGCGGAUUUCCAGCACGAUCUGGGGUCCGGGUGCGAGGUGUCACCAAAAACAGGAAGACCCGGCUCCCCUGCCGCCUCCGUUUCCAGCCAUGGGGCUCAAACGAGCUUUCCAAGGAGUGAGCUCCCCGUCGCUGGAGGUAACCAAGUGGACUCCCAACACGAUCCGGGGUCCGGGUGCGAGGUGGCGCCUAUAAACGGAAGACCUGGCUCUCCUGCUGCCUCCAUUUCCAGCUUUGGGGCUCAAACAAGCUUUCCGAAGAGGAGUGAGCUCCCCGUCGCCGGAGGUAACCAAGCGGACUCCCAGCACAAUCCGGGGUCCGAGUGCGAGGUGGAGCCCAAAACAGGAAGUCCCGGCUCCCCUGCUGCCUCCAUUUCCAGCUUUGGGGCUUGAACGAGCUUUCCGGGGAGGAGUGAGCUCCCCGUCGCCGGAGGUAACCAAGCGGACUCCCAACACGAUCAGGACUCUGGGUGCGAGGUGGAGCCCCAAACAGGAAGUCCCGGCUCUUCUGCUGCCUCCGUUUCCAGCUAUGGACCCAGAAUGAGCUUUCCGAGGAGGAGUGAGCUCCCCGUCGCCGGAGGUAACCAAGCGGAUUUCCAACACCGUCCGGGGUCCGGGUGCGAGGUGGCGCCUAUAAACGGAAGACCCGGUUCCCCUGCCGCCUCCAUUUCCAGCCAUGGAGCCAGAACGAGCUUUCCGAGGAGGAGUGAGCUCCCCGUCACGGGAGGUAACCAAGCGCAUUUCCGGCACGAUCCAGGGUCCGGGUGCGAGGUGGCGCCUAUAAACGGAAGUCCGGCUCUCCUGCCACCUCCAUUUCCAGCUAUGGAGCUCAAACGAGCUUUCCGAGGAGGAGUGAGCUCCCCGUCGCUGGAGGUAACCAAGCCGAUUCCCAGCACGAUCCGGGGUCCAGGUGCGAGGUGACGCCUAUAAACAGAAGACCCAGCUCUCCUGCUGCCUCCAUUUCCAGCCAUGGGGCUCAAACGAGCUUUCCGAGAAGGAGUGAGCUCCCCGUCACCAGAGGUAACCAAGCGGAUUUCCAACACAAUUUGGGGUCCGGGUGCGAGGUGGCGCCCAAAAAAGACACUCCCCCUGGGUGAGGACCCCAGGUUCUUCCCCUUUUUCCAGACUUUUCCGUGUCCGGCCCUCUGAGGCCCGUGUCAUUCCAGGCGGCCUCCACCCAGCCUCCCCGGAGGCCGGGACUCCAAGAAGCGCCGGCUGUUUGCUUCCGAGAACCGCUGAUUGAUUUUUUUUUUUGUUUUAUUUUU